CGGGGGGAGCAAGCGUUGUUCGGAUUUACUGGGCGUAAAGGGCGCGUAGGCGGCGCAACAAGUCACUUGUGAAAUCUCCGGGCUUAACCCGGAGCGGCCAAGUGAUACUGUCGUGCUAGAGUGCGGAAGGGGCUACUGGAAUUCUCGGUGUAGCGGUGAAAUGCGUAGAUAUCGAGAGGAACACCUGCGGCGAAGGCGGGUAGCUGGGCCGACACUGACGCUGAUGCGCGAAAGCCAGGGGAGCGAACGGGAUUAGAUACCCCGGUAGUCCUGGCCUUAAACGAUGGAUACUUGGUGUCCGGGGUUACAUAGUCCCCGGGUGCCGGCGCUAACGCAUUAAGUAUCCCGCCUGGGGAGAACGGUCGCAAGACUG
rnacentral:rRNA from 1 species